AUGAACGCUGGCGGCGUGCCUAAUACAUGCAAGUCGAGCGAACAGACGAGGAGCUUGCUCCUCUGACGUUAGCGGCGGCCGGGUGAGUAACACGUGGAUAACCUACCUAUAAGACUGGGAUAACUUCGGGAAACCGGAGCUAAUACCGGAUAAUAUAUUGAACCGCAUGGUUCAAUAGUGAAAGACGGUUUUGCUGUCACUUAUAGAUGGAUCCGCGCCGCAUUAGCUAGUUGGUAAGGUAACGGCUUACCAAGGCAACGAUGCGUAGCCGACCUGAGAGGGUGAUCGGCCACACUGGAACUGAGACACGGUCCAGACUCCUACGGGAGGCAGCAGUAGGGAAUCUUCCGCAAUGGGCGAAAGCUUGACGGAGCAACGCCGCGUGAGUGAUGAAGGUCUUCGGAUCGUAAAACUCUGUUAUUAGGGAAGAACAAAUGUGUAAGUAACUAUGCACGUCUUGACGGUACCUAAUCAGAAAGCCACGGCUAACUACGUG
rnacentral:rRNA from 1 species